rnacentral:lncRNA from 1 species
UCGAGGGAAAGAAAGGGAACAGCAGGUUUGGUCCAUGCACCUUCUGAAAACUGGUUUUCCUGGGAUUUUUCCUAGGUUCUGCUGACUAAAGUUGAUUUAGAAGAGGUCUCCCCAUGCGGAGGCUGAUAUCCACAGGACCCCUGAAAGUCAGCUGAUAGCAGUAUCAGGACAUUCUGGGGGGUUAGAACCUCACUAAGGAGGUCACAUCUGCAAGAGAUGACAAGCAAUUACAGACCCUACAGCAUUCAGAAAGGACUGUGGGGACAGAACACCACAUCGUAACCUGGAUUGCUCAUCUCCAAAGGAAAAGGAGAUACGGUCUGAAGCUCUUCUGGGAGGACAGAACUGGAAUGGAGUCUGUAAUGUUCAGGUGAGUGCUGUGACCUCUGUGACCUCUCGGUGCUACUCUAAUACUGACGGUAAUGGACUGUGUGCUAGAUGAUUGUGUGAUAGGAAUUCUACCUGCGGUUAUACCUGAAGAAAAUUUAUAUCCACAAGCAGAGACUAGUGGGACUGUGGAA